AUUGAACGCUGGCGGCAGGCUUAACACAUGCAAGUCGAGCGAGCGGCGGACGGGUUAGUAAUGUCUGGGAAACUGCCUGAUGGAGGGGGAUAACUACUGGAAACGGUAGCUAAUACCGCAUACCAUCGGAUGUGCCCAGAUGGGAUUAGCUAGUAGGUGGGGUAAUGGCUCACCUAGGCGACGAUCCCUAGCUGGUCUGAGAGGAUGACCAGCCACACUGGAACUGGUGUACGGGCCAGACUCCUACGGGAGGCAGCAGUGGGGAAUGUUGCACAAUGGGCGCAAGCCUGAUGCAGCCAUGCGGGGUGUGUGAAGAAGGUAUUCAGGUUGUAAAGCACUUUCAGCGAGGAGGCGUUACUCGCAGAAGAAGCACCGGCUAACUCCGUGCCAGCAGCCGCGGUAAUAC
rnacentral:rRNA from 1 species